GGAAUCUUCGGCAAUGGACGAAAGUCUGCCGAGCAACGCCGCGUGAGUGAAGAAGGUUUUCGGAUCGUAAAACUCUGUUGGUAGAGAAGAACGUUGGUGAGAGUGGAAAGCUCAUCAAGUGACGGUAACUACCCAGAAAGGGACGGCUAACUACGUGCCAG
rnacentral:rRNA from 1 species